rfam:Triticum aestivum genome assembly, contig: Triticum_aestivum_CS42_TGACv1_scaffold_378177_5AL
AUGUUACUCCCUCCGUUUUGAAUUACUUGUCUUAGAUUUGUCUAGAUACGGAGGUAUCUAGCACUAAAAUGAGUCUAGAUACAUCCAUAUCUAGACAAAUCCAAGACAAGUAAUUCGGAACGGAGGAAGUACAUA